CCCAUUCCUUCUCGAUUGUGAUCCCAGGAAGACUACAGCCAGGUACGCCCAUCACUAAAUCUUUUAUGUCACAUGCUUCAAGGUUCAUCUAUGAAUUAGUACAUAGUGGAAUGAUUUACAACAGUUCGCUUGUUUACUGCCACUUUUUGUUGCAAAAUAAUACAAAACAAAGAUACUAGCCGGUUCGGUUAGGAAAUCAUGUUGCGGUGGAUCCUUGUUAUAACCUGGUAAUGUAGAUGAAUUCUUUCAUGUCAGUACGUAAAUUGUUAUAUGCACUUCCCCAUAUAUUUCAUUCAACGAAACAAGAAGCAGUCGUUUCGAACCAGCUUAAGUUUUGUGAAGUCCUAUUGGUAUCAUAUAUUUUCAUUGAAAGUAAAUAUGACCUUGUAUGCAAUUGUAGGGUUGUCAUAAAGAAAAUAUUGUGGCCUUGCAUCCACCGACACCUUGUGCUUGCAGGGUUGUCAUUAAGCUUCUCUGCAGCUACAUCACCCAUGCCUCUGUGUGCAAUUGUAACCCAAGUGUGUCAGUGUUCAGACUUCAGACAUGGAUCAAAACUCAUUUUAUGAUGAUUAAACAUUUUGCUCCCUUUUGUUCUACACAAAGAUGGGGAGAUGCUACAAGAAGGAGAUCUUCAAGGACCAUGUGCAGAAGGACGUCCUGGUCUUGGCGCAAAACAUCAAGACAAGGAAGGGGUGAAGGAGCUGCUGGCAAGAGUGAGUCGACGAUCAACCCCGAUUCAGCAAGACAUCCUGUUAAGAUUGAAAUGGUGAAGGCUGUGGAGGAUGUUAAGGUCGUCGGAAACACGGAGUGAUCAGGUGAUUGCUGAUUGGACAAUAGGGGUGCCCAUUUUGUAAUGAUGUAAUAGGCUAAAUGCCGUCGUUUUUACAGACACAGUAGCCGUGGGUUAAGUGUCCAAGGUGAUUUACCUCUGCCCUGUUUCCGGUGUCUUAGCUUGAUUGUAUAGCUUUUGGGGUGGAGGAUGUGAUGGAGCAAAGGGGUUAAAACAAGUUGAUUUCUGCUACCCAAGGAAUUCUCCAGUUGCUUACAUUUCGCUUUUGGCAUACUUCAUAGUCAAUUACUGUCCACGGAUGCUUGCACAUGUGAAACUGAGGAACAUUUACUUCGAAUAUCAUUAUUGGUUUGGC
rnacentral:lncRNA from 1 species